rfam:Picea glauca, whole genome shotgun sequence.
AUAACGGUGUCUUUAGACACCACAUUUAUCUUCAAAAAUUUUGUU